GGCUUGGGUUCUUGGAGAGAGAAGGAUGUCUGCUUCAACUUGGCAAGCCUGAGCAGGGAUCUGUUACUGCUUUGUAGGUUCCUUCCAAGAUAGCAAAAAGAGAUAAUUAAUGUGAAACAGGAUGCUUUAAUAAACAAAAGAAGAAUGCAGCAAAUUUUGCAAAGGCCCUGAUUCAGAUAUUUGGACUUCUGCGAUACUUAGCAAAAACUCUGCCUCCAUGGAGCUACAUUUUAGAAGGACAGACAGACUGCAGCUGCAGCUGUGGGGAUGGCUCCCACUCGUGAUGUCACCUCCCGCCUGACAACACGGCUUGCCUGUGACUUCCUCUGCUGCUGGGCCCUGGACCACCCCUUGGCUUCCAGACAGUGCAGACUGGAAGAACGGGCAGCCUUCGAGCUGCGGGCACCCAGAUGUCAGCAUCAACACUCAUCUCUCCAAAGGACCAUCUCCCGAAGGGUCAUAUGAGUCUCCUUGCCUUGCUCCACCUCCUGCUUCUUGGACUCACGCCUCAGACACAUUCUCAGAGCCGGCUUUCAGGGGUAUUUAAGUAAGGAU